CGCUCUCCAUCCGCUGCGUUCUCUGCCACAAACAAACGACUUGCUCCCGUUUUCCCAACAGUCGAGCAUUCGUCUUCUUCCUUGCAGAUGAGAAAUUCGGAGUAAUCUUCAACCUUUGCACCUCUGCCUUCGAAGCACUCUGUGAUUUCGGGGGCACUUGGUACUGCCCGCGAGGGCCCGGCACGGUUUUUCGCGUGCUCGCAAUCUGGCAUCAGAAAUGUACAGGGCCUCAAGACCGGCAUCCCACGCGGGUGUUUGUGUCUCGAGGGAUUUCCCUUUGGAAGAGCCGUUGCGAAGAUUGUCUGGAGGUCACCUUAGGUGUCCCUUCCUUACUUUAGUGCAAUCGCAGCGGAAACCUAUCGAUCUCCUCCUGGGGGAUGAUAGGGUUUCAAUUCGAUUCCGAUUACUCUGGAGAGCG
rnacentral:RNase_P_RNA from 2 species